AGGGUGAUAGCUCAGUGGUGGAGCACAUGCUUAGUGUGCAUGAGGUUCUGGGUUCAAUCCCCAGUACCUCCA
rnacentral:tRNA from 1 species